UCACAUUCUCACCCCCCAAUCCUUGACCAGAAGAUGAAGAUGAUUUUUCAAACUUAAAAAAAUUGAAAGAGCAGAAGAUUUACACUUUCCAUCUAUAUCCCCAGACAAUAGAACUACAAGCAGACCUAACACCUGGAAGAGAGGUAACUCCAGUAUUCUACAUAGACUCUGAACUUCCUUCAGAACUCUGCAAAAAGUUUCCUACACAAAAGGAGAGCUUCAUGGCAACUCUACCAAAGGAAGAAAAACCAGAAGAACUGGAUUGCUCCCUUCAAUGUGAGAAUCAUCAGGAUUGCAGAGCCAAGGGUGUUAACCCAUUGUUUCUAUCAAGAGGCUUUGUGGAGAGAAUAUUGCUUUUUAAAAAGCAAGUGAUGGGGCCCCCACAGAGAAGUUAAAUUUAAUAAAGUUAAUUCCCCCUUAAAAAUUAUUUUCUUGAAGUUUCUAAACUGCUAGUCACCACGUAAAAGACAAUUCUUAAAGUUCUUAAAGUAGUUUCUAAUCAGAGUUAGGAUACCUAUUGUAACAGUGGCACAAAAUAAAUGGGCU